ACGAUUCCUCCGGUGCGGUAGAUGUGUUGGUA
rnacentral:scRNA from 1 species